GCUCCCGUAGCUCAGGGGUAGAGCGUUUCCUUGGUAAGGAAAAGGUCAUGAGUUCAAAUCUCAUCGGGAGCU
rnacentral:tRNA from 1 species